GCCCAGGUGGCGGAAUUUGGUAGACGCCCUGGUUUCAGAUACCAGUGUCCCCUGGACGUGCGAGUUCGAGCCUCGCCUUGGGCACCA
rnacentral:tRNA from 1 species